GUCAGCUGGCGCAACGGGUCAGUGUGUCCAGCUGUUAACCGGAAGAUUGGUGGUUCGAGUCCAGCCAAGGACA